rnacentral:rRNA from 1 species
UACGGAGGAUGCGAGCGUUAUCCGGAUUUAUUGGGUUUAAAGGGUGCGUAGGCGGACGCUUAAGUCAGCGGUAAAAUUGCGGGGCUCAACCUCGUCGAGCCGUUGAAACUGUCGGACUAGAGACGGCGAGAAGUACGCGGAAUGCGCGGUGUAGCGGUGAAAUGCAUAGAUAUCGCGCAGAACUCCGAUUGCGAAGGCAGCGUACCGGCGCCGGACUGACGCUGAGGCACGAAAGCGUGGGUAUCGAACAGG